CCUGGAACUCACUUGGUAGACAAGGCUGGCCUUAAAUUUACAGAGAUCCACCAGCCUCUGCAUCCUGAGUGCUGGGAU
rnacentral:miRNA from 1 species